GUCACGAUGGCUCAGCUGGUGAAGUAUCCGCCUGGCAAGUGGAGGGUCGCUUGUUCGAUUCCAGUUCGUGGUG
rnacentral:tRNA from 1 species